AAAAUUCAUGAGGCUUGGCGUCCUCGCGCUCCUGCUGUUUGCGCGCAUGCGCGUGGAAGAGCGAUUUCAAAUACAAGGAAGUAACGGCUCCUUUCCUCAAAGAAAGAAACACCCGCUGCGCAAGCUGCGAUGCUUACGAGUCUAAUGCACUUUGUGGGACGAAAUGGAGACUACAAACACAAGAAAAUCCAGUAUGACUUCUCUAAAAGUCUCAAAGGAUUCACAGAACAGCACUAUCAGUUAAUAAAGAAAUGUGUCUCUGUAGUGGACACCUGUGAGGCAGAGGACAGACAGCUGCUGAAGUCUGAUGCUGGCUGACAAUAAACAGACCUCUCUGGACGUACCCCAUCUUUUGUAGAGUAAUUCUAACAUUGCCCUUCCUGUAAAAUGAUGAUCCUGCUGUCCUGGAUGUAUAUGAUGAGCCUACACAUAAUCUCAGAACAGCUGUGGUAAUAGCAGGAGACCCAUUUGGUGAGAGCAGCACUGCAGUCUUUCCUGAUGGAGGAGACCAUGGACCAUUUCCAUAAGACUGAUGAUGUGUUUCAGCGGCCAUCAGCAUCGUAAAUCCUCACCAUUUUUUAAUAUUUUGAUUUUUUAAAAAUUAUGUGCAUUAAUAACGCUAUACUUUGUAUUAUAUCACAUUUGUAUCAAAUUACUAAAAAAAAAAUAGCUAAUGCAAGGGUGUUUCAAAUCCAGAGUCUUUUGGAGGAAUGCUAAAUUUGACAUUGUUUUAUCUUCUGACUGCUGUUAUCAGUCUCUGUCAGAUUUUUUCCUUUGAUUGAAAGUUGUGAAAAUGCUAUCUUUAGAGUUUUUGUUUUGUUAUUUGAGUAAAUGAGAAUGCAAAAAUAUUUGUGAUACUCUCCCAUUCACUGCUCUCGAAGUUAACCCAACUAUAACAACUUCCGCUGCUGAGAAACUGGUUUAUUAAGCUAUCUUGAGGCUUAUCAAUUUCUUAAAAUGUCCUGUGAUAAUUCUUCCAAUCAGUUUCCAUAAUUUAGAACAGGAAAGAAAAUGUUACUAUUAGUUGCAUUGUGUCUAAAAUUGAAUUGAAUUUAUUAAUUUAAAUUGUAUCAUUGUUGCAGGUACAUUAAAUGUUUUUUAAAGUUCUAAGAUAAUUGAGUCACAUUUAUUUGUUUAUAAUUUUACCAAGGUGUAAAUGUUUUUUUUUGUUGUUUUAUAUUUGUUUAUAGCAAUAUUAACACUGAUGUGUCCAUGAAUGGGAUUGUGAUGUGCAGUAUUGACUAUUUAAGGUGAUUAUGGAUAUUGUUGCUUAUCAAUAAACUAUGUUUUAUAUG